ensembl:lncRNA
CAUUAACUCACAUUUACAGGCAAUCAUACAUGCACUGUAAUCCGCAAUACCUUGAUUAUUUUGAUUCUUUCAUUUUUGUGCAAGCUUUUACUGACACUCUUUACAGUUCCUUUCAUGUAAACAUCAAUGCAUUCAAAUGUAAAGAUUGGUCAGUAAUCUGAGACUCUGACACAGCGCAUCUUUCCCAAGACAGAACAAAGCUGGAUUACUACAGCAGAAAAAAUGACGUGGUGUCAGUGGAGGCAACCCUCACCCGAUGUUCCGCUCCCCUAUCCUUCUCACCUAAUCUCAACUCUACACCUCUCUUCUGCGCAGCAGCAGCUUGUUUUCAUUCUCUGCCCCCUUCAGAACAGCGUCCCCGCUCUCAACCUUUCCUACUCAUUGUGCGCUGAUCCUGCAAAAAUAGCAAAGGCCUUCUUUCGGUUUUAAUUAUUCAUGUGUGAUUACAGGCUGCGGCUCCUCUCCACUGCAAGGUAAGAAAAAAGUGCCUCUACAGCAGGUGUGUAUGUGGGUGCGUGUCAAUAUAACUACUAUAUAACCUUUUGUGUGAGCGUGUCUGUUUAUAUUUAAAGUGUUAACCUUGAUCUUUACAGUUUGACUCUACUUCCACAAGUUUGCCCCUCGUUCCUAUUUGC